AAGAACGAGCCCUCCGUCUGAUCUUAAGCCUUGCGCCCCUCCGCGUCUGCGGCCGGCCCGGCGUCCGCUCGCCCUCCCGCCCCGGGAACUCACCGUUACACCACUGGAAUGGGUGCAUCAAUGAAUUCUCGGCUGGCUUCCUCCGGCGAACGAACGCAGGCGGCCAACGGAAUGUGUUCACCGUGAACCUACUUCGUGCCCAGCGCUGUUUACAACGGAGACCCAUCUAGGUCCCUGGCGACAGAAGGAUUCUACUCUUCCUGAGAUUCUUAGUGCCUGAGGAGACAGACAGUAAACACGCAAGCAAACAAAUAAGAAUGACUCAAUCUCAUCUUCCAAUUAAGCUUAAUCUGUUAAUUGAAGGUGAUAAACACUUUCCCUAACGCUUGGGAAUUUGUGACACUCAAAUAAGAUUAUGCAUAUGAGUGCUUUGUCAUUUAAAAGCAUGAUGGUUAAGGUAUUAAAUAACUUGGCUGAGAUCACACAGCAGUAUGCAACAAACAGUUUAGCACUUAAUUACGUAAUUGUCUUAUAACAAUUGUUUUUCUUUAAGAGCUGGUCUGGGGGGUCGGAAUCAUGUACUGAUCCAACUCAUUUCAUCUCUUAAUUGGGCAAUUGCAAAAGCUUCCUAACUGACCUCUUUGACUCCAGUCUCUACCCCAGACUUUAGAGCCCACAGGAAUCACUUAUGUUAGAGAUGUUACAUAUACAGACUCCCAGACCUGGAGCCCAGAGGUUCUGAUUCAGUAGUUAAAGGGUGGGCUCCAGAAUGCUUUGUCUCCACCUUCCCCCACCCCUCCUCAGCCAAAUUCUCAAGCAAUUAUGCUGAAAGAAAUAAUGCUCUGAUCUCACUCUCAAAUCUGUCCUCUCUGCUGGGCCCAGAGUUAUCUUCCUAAAAUGUAAAUCUGCUCCUUUACUUCUCUUGCUCGAUAACCUUUAUUGGUUCCCAUUACUUGCUGGGUAAAGUCAAAUUGUAGAGUAUGGCAUUCAGAUGGUUUCAGUCCGGCCUUUGCCUGUCUUCCUAAUGCCAAAUACUCUCUUGCUCACAUGCUAUUCAUCAGCCACAAAGCUAUUGCUGUUGUCCCCUAAACAUAGGACAUUCUUUCUUGACUGUGAUUUCGUACACGGCAUCACUUAUGUUUGAAUGCCCUUUUUCUUUCUGUGCCUGACAUUUUGUAAGAUUCAGCUGAAAAUACAUCUCUUCCGUGGCUCACCACUGUCAU